GGCGCCAGCAGCUGAAGGAGCCUCGCGCCGCCGCUGGCCGAAGGAGCCUCGCGCAGCCGGCCGCCACUGAAGCCCCAUGCCGCCAUGGCCCCUCUAUGCCGGGGCCAUGCAGCGCCCCCCACCGAAGAGGGCCUGCGCUGCCCGCCGAGGCCGAGACCCUGCGGCGUCGCCAGCCGAAGAGGUCUCGUGCCACCACCCAUGCUGCCGGGCGGCGGAGAGCAAACAAGCUACCAGCGGCCAGCCGCUGAAGGUAGAUGUACGCCUUGUGCCCUCCCUUGAACCCUCCCCUUCCUUGCUAUGUGUGGAUCUGACAAAUUGUGUGUUGGUGAAGCUGCCUCCUCGACGAACUGGUACUCUGGUAGACACCAUUGAUUUGUGUUACAAACUUUAGGCUAUUCAUCAGUUGUGUCACUAUGAUCAUGUAGCGGGAAAAUCAAUGGAUCUUUUGGAAUUCAGUUUUGGAUGAGCACAGGUGUGAUAUUCGCCCCUUUACACCUUUUCUUUCUUUCUUAGGUGCACAAGGCCCAGCAUUUGCCGUUGCUUUCUGCUAACUCAUUUGUGAUGGACAACUGGUCCUUCUAGUUAAUUUGUUCCAUUCUCACACACAUCCAUCCCUCUUGUUGCAGCUGCCCCCCAAUGAAGAUGACAUCGUCUGGCACUGAGCAAGUGCUGGAGGAGUAAGAUGGAACUGCUGCUGUAACUUCAUUUUUGUUAUUACCUUUCUGAAAAAUCUGACAUUUGCAGUUUCUUUGUUUUGAAAUUGAACUAAUAUGGUUAGUAUAUACCAAAACAUAUAUUGCAUAAGUUCAUAGGAAGCUUAUAAUAAGCAGCAAGGGGGGUGAGCCUGGAGCUUGCUCGGUGGUGCUCAGUGAUGAUUCAACUCUGUAAUGUUUUGAUGUAUGCCAUGUUGGUAUAGGAACUUCUAGGAGGGGUAAUAGGCAGAAGCUAAACUGAUCAAAUUAAAGUGUUGAGCUGAUGAUGGAUACUUGAGCUAUGUUCAGCUAGGAUAUGCGUGUAGGAUAUGUGUAACAUAGCAUCUGUAGCGAAAUUUUGGUCAAAUAUGUUAUGAGUUGUUAUGUAAAAGGACAACAUAUGUUAGGAAGAUGUAUGUUUAUUGAAGUUGAUUCCUACUCGUGUAUAUGAUGAAUGAACCUUUGAAGCUCAAUAUGAAAUAUGUACUAACUGCUCA